rnacentral:rRNA from 1 species
GACGAACGCUGGCGGCGUGCUUAACACAUGCAAGUCGAACGCUGAAGCUCAGCUUUUGUUGGGUGGAUGAGUGGCGAACGGGUGAGUAACACGUGAGUAACCUGCCUCCUUCUUUGGGAUAACGCCCGGAAACGGGUGCUAAUACUGGAUAUUCACUGGUCUUCGCAUGGGGGUUGGUGGAAAGGGUUUUUCUGGUGGGGGAUGGGCUCGCGGCCUAUCAGCUUGUUGGUGGGGUGAUGGCCUACCAAGGCUUUGACGGGUAGCCGGCCUGAGAGGGUGACGGGUACAUUAGGACUGAGAUACGGCCCAGACUACUACGGGAGGCAGCAGUGGGGAAUAUUGCACAAAGGGCGCAAGACUGAUGCAGCGACGCCGCGUGAGGGAUGGAGGCCUUCGGGUUGUGAACCUCUUUCGCUAAUGGUCAAGCCGCAACAAUGGUUGUGGUGAGGGUAGUGGGUAAAGAAGCGCCGGCUAACUACGUG